UACAGAGGGUGCGAGCGUUAAUCGGAGUGACUGGGCGUAAAGGGCGCGUAGGCGGUUAGAUUAGUCUGAUGUGAAAGACCUGGGCUUAACCUGGGAUGUGCAUUGGAAACGGUCUAGCUAGAGUUUGAGAGAGGGAAGUGGAAUUUCCGGUGUAGCGGUGAAAUGCGUAGAGAUCGGGAAGAACACCAAUGGCGAAGGCAGCUCGCUGGGACGUUACUGACGCUGAGACGCGAAAGCGUGGGGAGCAAACAGG
rnacentral:rRNA from 1 species